GACGAACCGAGCGAACGUUAUUCGGAAUCACUGGGCGUAAAGGGCGUGUAGGCGGGAAUGUAAGUCGGGCGUGAAAUCCCUAGGCUCAACCUAGGAACUGCACUCGAAACUGCGUUUCUUGAGUAUCGGAGAGGAAAGCGGAAUACCUGGUGUAGAGGUGAAAUUCGUAGAUAUCAGGUGGAACACCAGUGGCGAAGGCGGCUUUCUGGACGAUAACUGACGCUGAGGAGCGAAAGCGUGGGGAGCGAACAGG
rnacentral:rRNA from 1 species